UACGUAGGGGGCAAGCGUUGUCCGGAAUCAUUGGGCGUAAAGAGCGUGUAGGCGGUCCGGUCAGUCGGUUGUGAAAGUCAAGGGCUCAACCCUUGAAUGCCGGCCGAUACUGCCGGGCUAGAGUCCGGAAGAGGUGAGUGGAAUUCCUGGUGUAGCGGUGAAAUGCGCAGAUAUCAGGAGGAACACCGAUGGCGAAGGCGGAUCUCUGGGCCAUUACUGACGCUGAGGAGCGAAAGCGUGGGGAGCGAACAGG
rnacentral:rRNA from 1 species